GGUCCAGGGAGGGCGGGACAGGGCUCGUCCUUCCGCUUUAAACGGUGGGUGGUUGCUAGGAGCGCUCCCAACUGAAGCCGGGUGGGCAGAGUUCUCCUUUUGGGGAAGGUGUGAACCCGCAGCAAGACUGGCAACUGAGAGAACUUCUACCGAGAGGUGAGCUGUCUGAACUCGGAUUUGACAGGUCCCUCGCCGCGUCCCGUAAUCCAUUCCAGAGCACGUUGGCUCUUUUCUCCACGCUCUCCAUCCGCCUAGCUUAUUGCCGAUUUCCCGCUCUUCCGGCUCCGGUGACGUCUCCUUCGAGGUGCCGCGCAGAGCCCUCCAGGACUCGACUCCGAUGGAGACGGGGCGCGCUGCCCUGGGUCUGAGCGGGCGCCGUGGGCGAGUUCAUUCGCUUCAGCGCACCCCUCCCGUGGCUUGUUGGUUGAGGGAAGUUGGUGGGUUCUAGUCUGUAGGAAAGUCCUCAAGUAUCCGCCUGGUCAAGGAAGAGGAAAUGUGGACACAUAAAGAGACACCAGGGGCGUGCCCACACAGAGGAAAGGCCAUGUGAGGACACAGCAAGAAGGUGGCCAUCUGCAAGCCGAGAAGAGAGGCCUCAGAAGAACCCAAACCUGGCGACACCUUAAUCUUAGAUCUCUAGCCUUCAGAACUGUGAGAAAUAAAUUUCUGUUGUUUAAGCCAUCCAGUCUGGCAUUUUGUUAUGGCAGCCUGAGCUGACUAAGAUGGAGUUUAUGGUAAGCCCCAGUGGGAAAAUCACAGUGCAGUCCCUGGGACCCUGGAGCAAAGCCAUGCCAUCUGCAGCAGAGAAAUACACAUUUUAAGACCUGGCUACUAGUGUGAUCCUGGGCCUUGGAGGAGACAGAACACUUAACCAUAGGACAUCAAGUAUUCACAUGUCCAGAACUACCUGUUAUGGACUAGGUUCUGUUGGUUCAGAUGGACCCAGCAGCAUCUAUUAUAAAAUGAAAAUGGUACAUCUGGGAUGGAGCUCAAGCACAGCUGUGGCACUUGUAAGUGCCAGGACCAGGUAUUCCAGAGCCCCAUGUCACCCACCACAGCUGCACCAACACCAUGACCACUGAAUGAGGAGGGCUAAAGCCUGAGCUUGGUUUAUGGAUGAGUUAGCUUAGUAUGUGGGUGCAAGCCAGAUGGUGGCUGCAUUAUAGUCACAUUCUUGAGAGACUUUGAAAAACGGCAGAGAGGGAAAAUCUCAAUGAGUAGAGUUGCAAUCAUUGUCCCUGGUCAUCUGCUUUGUGUAUAAGGAGAAGCAGACUGAAGUAAGAAUAUGUAUAGAUUCUUGGGUAGAUAUCAAUGGCCUGGCCCUUUGGUAGGGAGCCUGGAAGGAAAAGGACUGGAAGAUCAAAGACAAGGAGUUCUGGGGUAGAGUCAUGUAGAUGGAUGUACAGGAGUGGGCAUGAUGUGAAGAUUUUUGUAUCACAUCUUGCAUCCACCAGGGAAGAGGCACUAAACAAUCGACUAGACAAAAUGACUCAUUCAGUUGUCAUUACCAGCUAAUAAUUAGCCACCUUGGAACCAGCAUGAUGGGCACCGUUGUGGGUUGUCUUUUAUCCCCCCAAAUUUCAUAUGUUGAAGUCUUAACCCCAAUACUUCAAAAUGUAACCUUAUUUGGAAAGAGGGUUGUUGCAGGUAUAAUUAGUUAAGAUGACAUCAUACUGGAGUAGGGUGCCCUAAUUCAAAAUGACUGGUGUCCUUUUAAGCAGACAGCCGUGUGAAUACAGAGAUACAUAGAGAGAAUGCCAUGUGAAGAUAAAAAUAUGGUAAUGCAGCAGAAGCCAAGGAAUGCCAAAGAUUACCAGUAAACCACCAGAAGCUAGGGGAGGUGCAUGGAAUAGGUUUUCCUUACAGCCCUCCGAAGGAACCAAUCUUGAUCUUGAUCUCAGACUUCUAGCCUGCAGAACUGUGAGACAAUAAAUUUCUGUUGUUUAAAUUGC